rnacentral:rRNA from 1 species
UACGUAGGGUGCGAGCGUUGUCCGGAAUUAUUGGGUGUAAAGAGCUCGUAGGCGGUUUGUUGCGUCUAUCGUGAAAACCUGCAGCUUAACUGUGGGCUUGCGGUGGAUACGGGCAGACUUGAGUUCGGUAGGGGAGACUGGAAUUCCUGGUGUAGCGGUGAAAUGCGCAGAUAUCAGGAGGAACACCGGUGGCGAAGGCGGGUCUCUGGGCCGAUACUGACGCUGAGGAGCGAAAGCGUGGGGAGCGAACAGG